UGGGGAAUAUUGCACAAUGGGCGCAAGCCUGAUGCAGCCAUGCCGCGUGUAUGAAGAAGGCCUUCGGGUUGUAAAGUACUUUCAGUCGGGAGGAAGGUGACAAGGUUAAUAACCUUGGCAAUUGACGUUACCGACAGAAGAAGCACCGGCUAACUCCGUGCCAGCAGCCGCGGUAAUACGGAGGGUGCAAGCGUUAAUCGGAAUUACUGGGCGUAAAGCGCACGCAGGCGGUUGAUUGAGUCAGAUGUGAAAUCCCCGGGCUUAACCCGGGAAUUGCAUCUGAUACUGGUCAGCUAGAGUCUUGUAGAGGGGGGUAGAAUUCCAUGUGUAGCGGUGAAAUGCGUAGAGAUGUGGAGGAAUACCGGUGGCGAAGGCGGCCCCCUGGACAAAGACUGACGCUCAGGUGCGAAAGCGUGGGGAGCAAACAGG
rnacentral:rRNA from 1 species